GGUGCUGCUGUCUGUGGGAGGAAGGGACCAGCUGCCCCUGGGACAGCAGCAACUGUGUGGUCUCCCCAGGCUGGUGGCUGGGGGCUGCCUUCCCCCCAUCAGGGAUGGCACCCAUUCAGAGUACUUUUACUUUUGGGACUCAGCCAGAUGUCUGUUUUGAAUGAGAGGAUGCAUGCUCUUCCUUCCUGCUCAGGACGCCCCUGUUUCAGGCUCUCAGCAGUGGUCCUGCUUUGAACUGGCUGUGUGACCUGAGGCUGGUCACUUGACCUAUCUGGUUAUCUGGGUCCUCAUCCAUAGAACGGAGACACUCAUGCUCACCACUGAGAGGUGCUGAGAGGAUUGGGCAGGUCUGCAAGUGUGACCCUUUAGCACGCGGGGCCUCUUCUGUGAUCCUGAAGUUACGCUUGCCACUGGUGGCAUAGGUGGCAUCUGCAUCUGUGGGUGGAAAGCUUCUCCAAGCAGGGGACUCUCCCUUCCUCUUCACAAACUCCAGCACGCAGGAAGCACGCAGCCGGUGUCUAUUCCUGGGUGGAUAAACACAUCCAUGAACGAGGAGCUGGCACCUCUCUCCCGAAGACCUGUUUAUUUCAUGUCAAAUACCCUGAACUUCUAUGAAAGAAGUUCACCUACCCUGAUGAAGGGAUCAGGGAUCAUAUGGAGAGACCCCUGGAGGGGAAAGGCCCUGAGACCAAAUGGAGAGAAAGACCAAUCAUCCCAGCACCCCAACUGAGCCCAGGCCCUAGGAGACUGUUCAACUGAAUGCACCAAUACAAGUGAACUCUGGUAAGAUCAGCAGAAGAACCACUCAGCUAAGCCCAGCCACAGUGGAAGAAUCACAGGAAAUACUACAGAACUGUCAUUUUAAGUCACUGAGUUUUGUUGUAGUUUAUUAUGCAACAAUAAUGACCAAAACAACCCAGUCCUCAGGACAACUAUUGUAGUUUUACCUCUAAUGUGGACAUUUGAGUAUAUGACCAUCUGUGUAAGUCUGAGUUUUCCAGAGAAAGAGAAACAAUAGGAUGUGUGUGUGUAUCAAAGAUACUUAUUUUAGAGAAUGGCUUCAGAUGAUUAUGGAAGCUUGGUGAGUCCGACAUCUGAUGGGAGAGGCCAGAAGACUGGGGGUUCAGAAAAAAAUUCCAGUUUGAAUCCAAGUGUAGUCUGGUGAAAAACCAGGAAGGGCCAGUGUUGCAGAUGAAGUCUGAAGGCAGGCAGUCUGAUGGGGAAUUCCCUCUUGCUUGGGGAAGUUCAGCAUUUGUUUUUGUUUUUUUUUGUUUUUUGAGGCAGGGUAUCCUCUGUUGCCCCAGUUGGAGUGCAGUGGUGCAAUCAAACUCCUGGGCUCAAGUUAUCCUCCUGCCUCUGCCUCCCAAGUAGCUGGAACUACAGGCUUGUGCUACUUGGCUAAUUUUUCUUUCUUUCUUUUUUUUUUUUUUUGUAGAGAUGGGGGUCUUGUUUUGUUGCCCAGGCUGGUCUCAAACUCUGGAGGUCAGCCUUUUGUUCUAGACUUCAGUUGACUGGAGGAGGCCCACCCACACUAUGGACAAUGAACUUUACUAAAAAUUCAUAGAUUUAAAUGCAAAUCUCAUCCAAAAACACCAUCAGAGAAGCAUCCAGCACAAUGUUUGACUACAUAUCUGGGCACUGUUGCCCAGCCAAGUUGACAUAAAAUUAACCAUCAUAUCAUCCAUUGGCAGAAAAUGGGUUUUCUUUGAUUUCACCCAGAGGUCAGUAUGUGAUUUUUGAAGAGAGAACCAGACUAGAGAAUAAAGACUUGCAUUUUAAUCCAACUACUGCCACUAACAUCCUCAUCAGCCAACCUAACUCCUCUGAGCCUCAGUUUUUCCCACUGGGUUAAUUUUAAUUUUGUUUAGUUUUAUGUUGUCCUUUCACCUUAUUACCUCUUACAGGCAACUUUAGCAAGAUGUUUAUUAUGGGUAAAAUUCACGGAAACCAAAAGCAUGUUCUUAAACACCCAGAGGCUCUGGGACUUCUUUGUUCUGUGCCACGGAUCAGAGGAAAGUAAUUUUGAAAGGAUCACAGGUUAUUGGAUCAUGUAAUUUUAAAACAUUUCAACAGUAAAUACUUAAUGAAAUUUA